rnacentral:misc_RNA from 1 species
GCAAAUGUCACGCAUUGAUCAGCCAACUCCUCCACCGGUGGGCUAUCCACCACAACAAGCGCAUGCACCUUACGGGCAACCCCCACCCCCAUAUGCCCAAGGUUAUCCUCCUGCCGGGUACCCUCCUGGUGCUUAUCCACCACCACCACCACCUGGUGCUUAUCCUCCAGCACCUGGUUAUCCUCCAGGCGGCUACCCCAAGUGAAUUGGACAGAGAUGCAAAGUGAUAAAGUAAUAUUUACUUAUUGCCCCGUUUAUAGCUAUAACAUUUUGCAGUUUAGCAAUUGAGUUUAAACUUGUCCAUUGAUUACAUGUGAAAUAGCUCAUCGUAUAAAAUCAGGAAUGGAUAAAUGAAACUAUAAACACUGGUUAUUCAAUACAGUUUGUGCAAUUUAGUGUUGAAUCCUUAUCGAUGCAAAGAGGAACUUGUUUUUGUAGGCAAAAAUAAAAUUCCAAACUUCGUA